GGUAAGAAGCCCGGCGAUGCUUGAGUGAUCCCGGGCCUCGAAUGGAAUGUUCUUAGUGGGCCAUUUUGGUAAGCAGAACUGGCGAUGCGGGAUGAACCGGACGUCGAGUUAAGGUGCCGGACUGUUCGCUCAUCUAGAUACCACAAAAGGUGUUGGUUCAUUUAGACAGCAGGACGGUGGUCAUGGAAGUCGAAAUCCGCUAAGGAGUGUGUAACAACUCACCUGCCGAAUGAACUAGCCCUGAAAAUGGAUGGCGCUGAAGCGAACGACCUAAACUCGACCGCCAGGGCAAAUGCGAGGCGCUGGCGAGUAGGAGGGCGUGGUGCUCGGUGACGCAGGUUGGGCCGUGAGGCCGACUGAAACGGGCACUAGUGCAGAUCUUGGUGGUAGUAGCAAAUACUGUAAUGAGACCUUACAGGACUGAAGUGGAGAAAGGUUCCAUGUGAACAGCACUUGGACAUGGGUUAGUCGAUCCUAA
rnacentral:rRNA from 1 species